rnacentral:rRNA from 1 species
AUUGAACGCUGGCGGUAUGCUUAACACAUGCUAGUCGAACGAUGAGAAAGAGCUUGCUCUUUCGAUUAGUGGCGGACGGGUGCGUAACGCGUAGGAAUCUACCUAUUAGUGGGGGACAACUUAGGGAAACUUAAGCUAAUACCGCAUACGCCCUACGGGGGAAAGAAGGGGAUCGCAAGACCUUUUGCUAAUAGAUGAGCCUGCGUAGGAUUAGCCAGUUGGUGAGGUAACGGCUCACCAAGGCGACGACGGGUAGGGGGCCUGAGAGGGUGACCCCCCACACUGGCACUGAAACACGGGCCAGACACCUACGGGUGGCAGCAGUAGGGAAUAUUGCACAAUGGGCGAAAGCCUGAUGCAGCAACGCCGCGUGCGCGAUGAAGGCCUUUGGGUCGUAAAGCGCUUUUCGGGGAGACGAGGAAGGACGGUAUCCCCGGAAUAAGGAUCGGCUAACUACGUGCCAGCCGCCGCAGUAACAC